rnacentral:rRNA from 1 species
UAAGGAAUAUUGGUCAAUGGACGCAAGUCUGAACCAGCCAUGCCGCGUGAAGGAUGAAGGUCCUCUGGAUUGUAAACUUCUUUUAUCUGGGACGAAAACGGGAUUUUUAUCUCAAUUGACGGUACCAGAGGAAUAAGCACCGGCUAACUCCGUGCCAGCAGCCGCGGUAAUACGGAGGGUGCGAGCGUUAUCCGGAUUUACUGGGUUUAAAGGGUGCGUAGGUGGGCUUAUAAGUCAGUGGUGAAAUCUCCGAGCUUAACUUGGAAACUGCCUUUGAUACUAUAGGUCUUGAAUUAUCUGGAGGUAAGCGGAAUAUGUCAUGUAGCGGUGAAAUGCUUAGAUAUGACAUAGAACACCAAUUGCGAAGGCAGCUUACUACAUAUAAAUUGACGCUGAGGCACGAAAGCGUGGGGAUCAAACA